GCUGAGCUCGGUAACGCGGGCUUGUAACCUGAGUGGGGGCUUUAAAGUGAUGGGACGUGGACUAUGCACGUAAGGUCGGGUUCAGGCUGUCUCUUAUCUGACCCGCCCGUUCCAAGCCAGGAGUUGAGCCAAGGCAUCCUAGUGAAGACCUGGGUGUUCUGGCUCCUAGAGGGGAGGGCACAGCGUGAGGCUGGUCUCACAGAGCAGCGAUCACCUCCCGCUCCUGGCAGUGGAAGGAUUACGGGCCGGUGCCAACUGGAUCUGCAUGGCUUGAAGAGCUGGUCUAAUUGGACCGUCACUUUU
rfam:Populus trichocarpa isolate Nisqually-1 chromosome 18, whole genome shotgun sequence.